UUUUUUGGGUAUUGUUUCUCGUGUCGUGAGAUGUUGGGUUAAGUCCCGCAACGAGCGCAACCCUUUUCCUUAUUUGCCAGCGGGUUAAGCCGGGAACUUUAAGGAUACUGCCAGUGACAAACUGGAGGAAGGCGGGGACGACGUCAAGUCAUCAUGGCCCUUACGACCAGGGCUACACACGUGCUACAAUGGUCGGUACAAAGGGUUGCUACCUAGCGAUAGGAUGCUAAUCUCAAAAAGCCGAUCGUAGUCCGGAUUGGAGUCUGCAACUCGACUCCAUGAAGUCGGAAUCGCUAGUAAUCGCGGAUCAGAAUGCCGCGGUGAAUACGUUCCCGGGCCUUGUACACACCGCCCGUCACACCAUGGGAGUUUGUUGCACCAGAAGUAGGUAGUCUAACCGCAAGGAGGACGCUUACUCAUCGUUCCCCUUU
rnacentral:rRNA from 1 species